CUAAUACUGGAUAUGUGACGUGACCGCAUGGUCUGCGUCUGGAAAGAAUUUCGGUUGGGGAUGGGCUCGCGGCCUAUCAGCUUGUUGGUGAGGUAAUGGCUCACCAAGGCGUCGACGGGUAGCCGGCCUGAGAGGGUGACCGGCCACACUGGGACUGAGACACGGCCCAGACUCCUACGGGAGGCAGCAGUGGGGAAUAUUGCACAAUGGGCGCAAGCCUGAUGCAGCAACGCCGCGUGAGGGACGACGGCCUUCGGGUUGUAAACCUCUUUUAGCAGGGAAGAAGCGAAAGUGACGGUACCUGCAGAAAAAGCGCCGGCUAACUACGUGCCAGCAGCCGCGGUAAUACGUAGGGCGCAAGCGUUAUCCGGAAUUAUUGGGCGUAAAGAGCUCGUAGGCGGUUUGUCGCGUCUGCUGUGAAAUCCGGAGGCUCAACCUCCGGCCUGCAGUGGGUACGGGCAGACUAGAGUGCGGUAGGGGAGAUUGGAAUUCCUGGUGUAGCGGUGGAAUGCGCAGAUAUCAGGAGGAACACCGAUGGCGAAGGCAGAUCUCUGGGCCGUAACUGACGCUGAGGAGCGAAAGGGUGGGGAGCAAACAGGCUUAGAUACCCUGGUAGUCCACCCCGUAAACGUUGGGAACUAGUUGUGGGGUCCAUUCCACGGAUUCCGUGACGCAGCUAACGCAUUAAGUUCCCCGCCUGGGGAGUACGGCCGCAAGGCUAAAACUCAAAGGAAUUGACGGGGACCCGCACAAGCGGCGGAGCAUGCGGAUUAAUUCGAUGCAACGCGAAGAACCUUACCAAGGCUUGACAUAUACGAGAACGGGCCAGAAAUGGUCAACUCUUUGGACACUCGUAAACAGGUGGUGCAUGGUUGUAGUCAGCUCGUGUCGUGAGAUGUUGGGUUAAGUCCCGCAACGAGCGCAACCCUCGUUCUAUGUUGCCAGCACGUAAUGGUGGGAACUCAUGGGAUACUGCCGGGGUCAACUCGGAGGAAGGUGGGGAUGACGUCAAAUCAUCAUGCCCCUUAUGUCUUGGGCUUCACGCAUGCUACAAUGGCCGGUACAAAGGGCUGCAAUACCGCGAGGUGGAGCGAAUCCCAAAAAGCCGGUCCCAGUUCGGAUUGAGGUCUGCAACUCGACCUCAUGAAGU
rnacentral:rRNA from 1 species